rnacentral:rRNA from 1 species
GUAGGUGGCAAGCGUUGUCCGGAUUUAUUGGGUUUAAAGGGUGCGUAGGCGGUUUUCUAAGUCAGCAGUGAAAUACGGCAGCUCAACUGUCGAGGUGCUGUUGAUACUGGGGAACUUGAGUACUGAUGAGGUAGGCGGAAUGGACGGCGUAGCGGUGAAAUGCUUAGAGAUCGUCCAGAACACCGAUAGCGAAGGCAGCUUACUAAGGAGUAACUGACGCUGAGGCACGAAAGUGUGGGGAUCAAACAGGAUUAGAUACCCUGGUAGUCCACACUGUAAACGAUGAUUACUCGAUGUGUGCGAUACACGGCACGCGUCUUAGCAAAAGCGAUAAGUAAUCCACCUGGGGAGUACGCCGGCAAC